AACGGGAAGCCGGUGUGGAACCGGCGCGGCCCUCGCCACUGUGACCGGGGAGCACGCUCCGACUUGCAUGCCACUGGGUCCUUCCGGGCCUGGGAAGGCCGGAGUACGCGACGAUCCGGAAGCCAGGAGACCG
rnacentral:ncRNA from 1 species